ACGAACGCUGGCGGCGUGCCUAAUACAUGCAAGUUGAGCGAUGAAGAUUGGUGCUUGCACCAAUUUGAAGAGCAGCGAACGGGUGAGUAACGCGUGGGGAAUCUGCCUUUGAGCGGGGGACAACAUUUGGAAACGAAUGCUAAUACCGCAUAACAACUUUAAACAUAAGUUUUAAGUUUGAAAGAUGCAAUUGCAUCACUCAAAGAUGAUCCCGCGUUGUAUUAGCUAGUUGGUGAGGUAAAGGCUCACCAAGGCGAUGAUACAUAGCCGACCUGAGAGGGUGAUCGGCCACAUUGGGACUGUGACACGGCCCAAACUCCUACGGGAGGCAGCAGUAGGGAAUCUUCGGCAAUGGACGAAAGUCUGACCGAGCAACGCCGCGUGAGUGAAGAAGGUUUUCGGAUCGUAAAACUCUGUUGGUAGAGAAGAACGUUGGUGAGAGUGGAAAGCUCAUCAAGUGACGGUAACUACCCAGAAAGGGACGGCUAACUACGUG
rnacentral:rRNA from 1 species